CCUUAGGUCGCAUGACUUUAGGAAGAAAGGUGGCCUCUAUUUAUAAGCUAUCGCUAGAGGAUGGGCCUGCGUCUGAUUAGCUAGUUGGUGGGGUAACGGGCCUACCAAGGCGAUGAUCAGUAGCCGGUCUGAGAGGAUGAACGGCCACACUGGAACUGAGACACGGUCCAGACUCCUACGGGAGGCAGCAGUGGGGAAUCUUCCGCAAUGGGCGAAAGCCUGACGGAGCAACGCCGCGUGAGUGAUGACGGCCUUCGGGUUGUAAAGCUCUGUGAUCGGGGACGAACGGUCAGCAGACGAAUACUCUGCUGAAGUGACGGUACCCGAAUAGCAAGCCACGGCUAACUACGUG
rnacentral:rRNA from 1 species